CGAACGCUAAGUGGGUCAUUGCAAUUUCUGACUUUUAACCAAACCUGGUUAUGUCUAUAACUAGGCUUCUGUUCUCUUUUUUUAUUCAGGCCCAACGUAUCAUUGCUUAGUGCUUAGAUCCAUUAGAUUAACAUCGUCGCCGACCCUUCCCUUCCCUGAAGCCUCCUCCGAUGAACUUCCGGUAACGCCUUCUUUCUCCAUUGAUUUAUACCUUAAUCGACCUCACCAUCUUCAUACGCAACCCACGGGAGGGCUCCUCCUAUAAAUUUCAAUGCUCCGAGCGUUAUACAGCUCCAUCUCUGUGAAAUCUAGAAGUUCUCGGAGAAAUGCCAAGAGAGGAAGCGAGCUGAUGGGGGUUGACAUGCUAUUCCUUGAGGAAAGAUAAUCACUUCCGGAUCCUAUUCAAACUAUCGAUUCUUAUGCAAGGGUCCGUCAGUGCGAACCAUCUCAACAAUUUCAGUGAUCGUUUCAGUGAAGGUUCAGUCUACAGGAUGAGCGGUUUCGACGUAAAGCGGAGCAACAACAUUUGGCACUUAUUUUGAAAAGUUGUCAAGAGUCCACUAAGCUGAUACUAACUGAAGCUUUCCUUUUCCGUUCAUACGGCUAACUGCUUACUUUGGCGAACAGAAACAGACAGCUACCUGGAGCACAAUCAAGGACCGUUCAUCUGAGGCACAACGUGUAAUGCUUACUAUACGUCUAGAGAGGGAUGUAACCGUCUGUGUCAGUAUGUUUAAACUCCUUGGCUUGCCUUCAUAACAAAUUUGAAAGCUACGGAAGUGAACCAAAUAUUGUCCUUGGAGGUGGGCUAUUUCUGAACUUAACAUCUGGAAUCCAUAUUUAUUGUGACUCUGAGACUGUAGGAAAAGAGAAGCUUGACAAUUGUCAGAGAAACAAAGUCGUCAAAUUAAGCUCCUCCAACGAAAAAAUUAUUUGGUUCAGAUUUAAAAGACAAUGUUUUGUCAUUCUCACUGAACAGGGUUGGUGGUACUGGAAUGGACAUGAGAAGCACAGCCAAGGUAAUCUUUUUAUUUUAUUUAGACGUUGACGAAAAGGUUAGCAAAUUUCCUGUAAAAUAGAAUCAGAAUGACAAAGCUUACUGAUCUCUGUUUGGUUUACUUUUACACUCUCCCUGGACCUGCAACCAACCAUCAAAACUCCCAAAAAAGGAACUAUGAUGGUUCCAACACUUGGUGAAGCUCCUGGGGAAGAUAAUGAAGUGAUCUUAUAGUAAGGCCUCUCCUGCAAACCAACAUGCUUACUUCCAGCCUGAGAACUAUCUGAGCAGCACUGGCACUCCAGUUGUAAAUGUCACAAAAGCUACUAUAUCAGCGAUGAAUGCUUUGAGCAAGUUCCCCCGCACCAACAGGAUGCUUUCGCGCAACGCCAAGCUUCUAAAACGUAACAUAAGGCAAACAUGCUGAGGAACACACAUCAAUGAGACAUCAUAACUCAGCUGCGCAAGGCGGUGUAUCAAAUGACUGCACCCGGUAUGUGCUUCUGGUCCUCACCUAAUCACAUGGUUCCCGCAUUGUUAUAGCAGAUCGAUCUGGCCACUAGACACGGUACGGCACGCGGUAACGAGCAACGCGGCUUCCAAUUCGUGCCUUCAAUGCAUCUGCUUCCAAAAUCUCAAGUUAGAUUAACUUCCCCAGAAUUUAGUAAAAUAUAGAAAUCCUGCUAUCUUUAAGACAACACUGACACCCAUCUUUUGUUUGACUUCCCAGCUCUACGUUAGUAACAAAAUUUUAAUUACAUUCCUUUGCA